GACGAACGCUGGCGGCGUGCUUAACACAUGCAAGUCGAACGGAAAGGCCCUUCGGGGUACUCGAGUGGCGAACGGGUGAGUAACACGUGGGUGAUCUGCCCUGCACUUUGGGAUAAGCCUGGGAAACUGGGUCUAAUACCGAAUAUGACCACGCGCUUCAUGGUGUGUGGUGGAAAGCUUUUGCGGUGUGGGAUGGGCCCGCGGCCUAUCAGCUUGUUGGUGGGGUAAUGGCCUACCAAGGCGACGACGGGUAGCCGGCCUGAGAGGGUGACCGGCCACACUGGGACUGAGAUACGGCCCAGACUCCUACGGGAGGCAGCAGUGGGGAAUAUUGCACAAUGGGCGCAAGCCUGAUGCAGCGACGCCGCGUGAGGGAUGACGGCCUUCGGGUUGUAAACCUCUUUCAAUAGGGACGAAGCGCAAGUGACGGUACCUAUAGAAGAAGGACCGGCCAACUACGUGCCAGCAGCCGCGGUAAUACGUAGGGUCCGAGCGUUGUCCGGAAUUACUGGGCGUAAAGAGCUCGUAGGUGGUUUGUCGCGUUGUUCGUGAAAACUCACAGCUUAACUGUGGGCGUGCGGGCGAUACGGGCAGACUAGAGUACUGCAGGGGAGACUGGAAUUCCUGGUGUAGCGGUGGAAUGCGCAGAUAUCAGGAGGAACACCGGUGGCGAAGGCGGGUCUCUGGGCAGUAACUGACGCUGAGGAGCGAAAGCGUGGGGAGCGAACAGGAUUAGAUACCCUGGUAGUCCACGCCGUAAACGGUGGGUWCUWARGGKGKGGGUUUCCUUCCUUGGGAUCCGUGCCGUAGCUAACGCAUUAAGUACCCCGCCUGGGGGAGUACGGCCGCAAGGCUA
rnacentral:rRNA from 1 species